CGCUGGCGGCGUGCCUAAUACAUGCAAGUCGAAUGGUCUUUUCUAUGGAAGCUUGCUUCCACUGAGAAGAUAGUGGCGAACGGGUGAGUAACACGUGGGUAACCUGCCCAUAAGAGGGGGAGUAACAUCCGGAAACGGGUGCUAAUACCGCAUAGUUUUCUUGAUCGCAUGAUUGAGAAAGGAAAGACGGCCUUUGUGCUGUCGCUUAUGGAUGGACCCGCGGCGUAUUAGUUAGUUGGUGAGGUAACGGCUCACCAAGACGAUGAUACGUAGCCGACCUGAGAGGGUGAUCGGCCACAUUGGGACUGAGACACGGCCCAAACUCCUACGGGAGGCAGCAGUAGGGAAUCUUCCGCAAUGGACGAAAGUCUGACGGAGCAACGCCGCGUGAGUGAAGAAAGGUUUUCGGAUCGUAAAACUCUGUUGUCAGAGAAGAACAAGUUGGAGAGUAACUGCUCCAGCCUUGACGGUAUCUGACCAGAAAGCCACGGCUAACUACGUGCCAGCCGCAGC
rnacentral:rRNA from 1 species